rnacentral:rRNA from 1 species
GAUGAACGCUGACAGAAUGCUUAACACAUGCAAGUCAACUGUGGCGGACGGGUGAGUAACACGUAAAGAACUUGACUCACAGUUAGGGCCAACAUAUGGAAACGAAUGCUAAUACCUGAUACUGUGAGAGAGCUUUGCGUCCCAUUAGCUAGUUGGAGAGGUAACGGCUCACAAAGGCGAGGAUGGGUAGCCGGCCUGAGAGGGCGAUCGGCCACAAGGGGACUGAGACACGGCCCUUACUCCUACGGGAGGCAGCAGUGGGGAUUAUUGGACAAAGGGCCAAAGUCUGAUCCAGCAAUUCUGUUUGCACGAUGAAGUUUUCGGAAUGUAAAGUGCUUUCAGUUGGGAAGCGGUACCUACAGAGGAAGUGACGGCUAAAUACGUGCCAGCAGCCGCGGUAAUAC